UUACACAUGCAAGUCGAACGGUAACAGGUCUUCGGAUGCUGACGAGUGGCGAACGGGUGAGUAAUACAUCGGAACGUGCCCAGUAAUGGGGGAUAGCUCGGCGAAAGCCGGAUUAAUACCGCAUACGCCCUGAGGGGGAAAGUGGGGGAUCGCAAGACCUCACGUUAUUGGAGCGGCCGAUGGCUGAUUAGCUAGUUGGUAGGGUAAAGGCCUACCAAGGCGACGAUCAGUAGCUGGUCUGAGAGGACGAUCAGCCACACUGGGACUGAGACACGGCCCAGACUCCUACGGGAGGCAGCAGUGGGGAAUUUUGGACAAUGGGGGAAACCCUGAUCCAGCAAUGCCGCGUGUGCGAAGAAGGCCUUCGGGUUGUAAAGCACUUUUGUCAGGGAAGAAAUCCUUUGGGCUAAUACCCUAGGGGGAUGACGGUACCUGAAGAAUAAGCACCGGCUAACUACGUGCCAGCAGCCGCGGUAAUACGUAGGGUGCAAGCGUUAAUCGGAAUUACUGGGCGUAAAGCGUGCGCAGGCGGUUGUGUAAGACAGGUGUGAAAUCCCCGGGCUUAACCUGGGAAUUGCAUUUGUGACUGCACGACUAGAGUGUGUCAGAGGGGGGUGGAAUUCCACGUGUAGCAGUGAAAUGCGUAGAUAUGUGGAGGAACACCAAUGGCGAAGGCAGCCCCCUGGGAUAACACUGACGCUCAUGCACGAAAGCGUGGGGAGCAA
rnacentral:rRNA from 1 species